rnacentral:snRNA from 1 species
GUGCUCACUUCAGCAGUGCAUAUACCAAAAUUGGAAUGAUGUGGGAGAAGAUUAGCAUGGCCCCUGCACAUGAAUGACAUGCAAAUUCAUGAAACGUUCCAUAUUUUU